AGAACGAACGCUGGCGGCACGCCUAACACAUGCAAGUCGAGCGCCCAGCAAUGGGAGCGGCGGACGGGUGAGUAACACGUGGGAAUAUGCCUUUCGGUACGGAACAACUCAGGGAAACUUGAGCUAAUGCCGUAUACGCCCUUACGGGGAAAGAUUUAUCGCCGAAAGAUUAGCCCGCGUCUGAUUAGCUAGUUGGUGAGGUAAUGGCUCACCAAGGCUUCGAUCAGUAGCUGGUUUGAGAGAACGACCAGCCACACUGGGACUGAGACACGGCCCAGACUCCUACGGGAGGCAGCAGUGGGGAAUCUUGGACAAUGGGGGAAACCCUGAUCCAGCGAUGCCGCGUGAGUGAUGAAGGCCUUGGGUGUAAAACUCUUUCGACGGGACGAUAAUGACGGUACCCGUAGAAGAAGCUCCGGCUAACUUCGUGCCAGCAGCCGC
rnacentral:rRNA from 1 species